GACGAACGCUGGCGGCGUGCCUAAUACAUGCAAGUAGAACGCACAGUUUAUACCGUAGCUUGCUACACCAUAGACUGUGAGUUGCGAACGGGUGAGUAACGCGUAGGUAACCUGCCUGGUAGCGGGGGAUAACUAUUGGAAACGAUAGCUAAUACCGCAUAAUAUUGAUUAUUGCAUGAUAAUUGAUUGAAAGAUGCUAUUGCAUCACUACCAGAUGGACCUGCGUUGUAUUAGCUAGUAGGUGAGGUAACGGCUCACCUAGGCGAAGAUACAUAGCCGACCUGGGAGGGUGAUCGGCCACACUGGGACUGAGACACGGCCCAGACUCCUACGGGAGGCAGCAGUAGGGAAUCUUCGGCAAUGGACGAAAGUCUGACCGAGCAAAGCCGCGUGAGUGAAGAAGGGUUUCGGAUCGUAAAGCUCUGUUGUAAGAGAAGAACGGGUGUGAGAGUGGAAAGUUCACACUGUGACGGUAUCUUACCAGAAAGGGACGGCUAACUACGUG
rnacentral:rRNA from 1 species